rnacentral:rRNA from 1 species
AGAGUUUGAUCAUGGCUCAGGACGAACGCUGGCGGCGCGCUUAAAACAUGCAAGUCGAACGUGAAGCCGGGGCUUGCCCCGGUGGAAAGUGGCGAACGGGUGAGUAACACGUGAGGAACCUGCCCCGGAGACCGGGAUAACCCAGGGAAACUUGGGCUAAUACCGGAUGUCUUCACCGGACCGCAUGAUCUGGUGAAGAAAUGGAUUCCGCUCCGGGAUGGCCUCGCGGCCUAUCAGCUUGUUGGUGAGGUAACGGCUCACCAAGGCUUCGACGGGUAGCUGGUCUGAGAGGACGAUCAGCCACACUGGGACUGAGACACGGCCCAGACUCCUACGGGAGGCAGCAGUUAGGAAUCUUGCACAAUGGGGGAAACCCUGAUGCAGCGACGCCGCGUGCGGGACGAAGGCCCUCGGGUCGUAAACCGCUUUCAGCAGGAACGAAAUUGACGGUACCUGCAGAAGAAGCCCCGGCCAACUACGUGCCAGCAGCCGCGGUAAUACGUAGGGGGCAAGCGUUGUCCGGAUUCAUUGGGCGUAAAGAGCUCGUAGGCGGUUCAGUAAGUCGGGUGUGAAAUCUCCGUGCUCAACACGGAGCGGCCACCUGAUACUGCUGUGACUCGAGUCCGGUAGGGGAGUGUGGAAUUCCCGGUGUAGCGGUGAAAUGCGCAGAUAUCGGGAGGAACACCAGUAGCGAAGGCGGCACUCUGGGCCGUGACUGACGCUGAGGAGCGAAAGCGUGGGUAGCAAACAGGAUUAGAUACCCUAGUAGUCC